GACAUAACUGUGAAGUCCUGUUUGGGAUACGGCAACAGUGUCUGAUUUGGGUAGCUCUAAAUGAUAACAACAUGCCAUCUGUGUUUUAGUGAAGACACAAUGAAUGUUGAAUUAGAAGCAAAGAAAAAGGAUGUGAAAUAACUUUCAGAGUUGGAGAAGCAGCCUAUUGAACACACGCCAAAGGAGUGUCAUGAGCAAGACACGAUAAGUCAUUCUUCUGCUCUACUCUGCGCUGAUAGGCC